UACGUAGGGGGCAAGCGUUGUCCGGAAUUAUUGGGCGUAAAGAGCGUGUAGGCGGUCCGGUAAGUCAGCUGUGAAAGUCAAGGGCUCAACCCUUGAAAGCCGGUUGAUACUGUCGGGCUAGAGUCCGGAAGAGGCGAGUGGAAUUCCCGGUGUAGCGGUGAAAUGCGCAGAUAUCGGGAGGAACACCAAUGGCGAAGGCAGCUCGCUGGGACGGUACUGACGCUGAGACGCGAAAGCGUGGGUAGCAAACAGG
rnacentral:rRNA from 1 species